AGUGAACGCUGGCGGUAGGCCUAACACAUGCAAGUCGAACGGCAGCACAGUAAGAGCUUGCUCUUACGGGUGGCGAGUGGCGGACGGGUGAGGAAUACAUCGGAAUCUACUUUUUCGUGGGGGAUAACGUAGGGAAACUUACGCUAAUACCGCAUACGACCUACGGGUUAAAGCAGGGGUUCUUCGGACCUUUCGCGUUUGAUUGAGCCGAUGUCGGAUUAGCUAGUUGGCGGGGUAAAGGCCCACCAAGGCGACGAUCCGUAGCUGGUCUGAGAGGAUGAUCAGCCACACUGGAACUGAGACACGGUCCAGACUCCUACGGGAGGCAGCAGUGGGGAAUAUUGGACAAUGGGCGAAAGCCUGAUCGAGCAAUACCGCGUGGGUGAAGAAGGCCUUCGGGUUGUAAAGCCCUUUUGUUAGGAAAGAAAAGAAGCAGGUUAAUAACACGCUGUUCUGACGGUACCUAAAGAAUAAGCAACGGCUAACUUCGUG
rnacentral:rRNA from 1 species